UUAUUUUUUAACAUUUUUUACAUUUCAGAAUAUCAAUGCUUUCUUCACAAGAAAUCAGCUGAUGUUAGAUUAGAGGUGUACACUGUACAUUAGAGCACUAGAUGAAGUACACUGCGACCUUUAGUUCAAAAUGUCAUCAAUAGCCGGGCUACAUAAAACCUCGGAAAUUUUACCACAGAUUCCGCCACCGCCUGGGCCGGAGAUACUACCUCAGCUACCGCCUAAACCAGGACCUCCGCCCGGAGCGGAUAAUAUGUCUCCGCCGUCUCCUAAACCCACGGACACAGAGCUUUAUAGGAGUUUAUUCGAGCAGUUAGAUGUUAAGAAAGAUGGUAAAAUUGAUGCUGAAGAGUUAACUACUGGACUGUUCAGUAUGGGGUAUACACAUCUCUCACAGGAUCAGAUAGAUUUGUUCCUCAAGAAAUCUGAUUUGAAUAGCAGUGGUAAUUUGACAAUCGAAGAGUUUGUUCAGCAUCUAGAAAUGCAUGAAAAACAAUUAAUGUCUAUGUUUAAAACGCUGGACACGAACAAGGACGGGAGAUUGUCUGGCUCAGAAAUCCAAAUCGCUUUCAGGAAAAUGGGAAUUCAGAUCAGUGAGGAAGAAGCUACCGAGCUUGUCGCUCGAAUUGACGAUGAUGGUUCCCUGGACAUAUCCUUCGAGGAGUGGCGGGACUACCUCAUGUUCCACCCUAGCUCCGACAUUAAGGAGGUUGUCGAGUACUGGAUGGACGACGUAUACGAGGAAGACACGGAGGAAAACCUAGUCCCAGAUUUGCCGAGUUUUGUCCUUUCCAAAGUGAUGAGUGGUUCAGCUGGUUUGUCUGAUCGGUUAAUCGGAGGUAUCUGGUGGCGGCAUCUAGUAUCUGGUGCAAUAGCUGGCGCUGUAUCAAGAACAUUCACUGCUCCUCUAGACAGGUUAAAGGUGAUGCUACAGGUUCACGGAGCUAGAAAAUCCUUAAAUAUAAUAGAUACAGUGAAGUACAUGCUGAAGGAGGGAGGAGUUAUGGGUCUGUGGAGGGGAAACCUACUAAACGUUAUCAAAAUUGCGCCAGAAUCUGCGCUCAAGUUUGGCUCAUAUGAGGAAAUAAAAAAGUGGAUAAAAGGGUCUGACAAUCGUGAGUUAACGAUCUACGAACGAUUAUGGGCCGGAAGUCUGGCAGGCGCCACGGCGCAGACUGUGAUAUAUCCUCUAGAAGUGAUGAAAACGCGAAUGCUCCUCCGACGUACGGGAGAGUAUUCAGGAAUGUGGGAUUGUGCGUAUAAGAUUUAUAAAUCCGGGGGGUUGUAUCGAGGAUACUGGCCGAAUCUCUUCGGAAUAAUACCCUACGCAGGCAUUGAUUUGGCUGUUUAUGAAACCGUUAAAAAAACCUGGCUUGAAAGAACUUAUGACCCAAGUGAACCUAAGAAGCAGCCAGGUAGUGUCGUGUUACUGCUCUGCGGCACGUUUAGCAGCUGCUGCGGUCAGCUGGCAGCUUACCCAUGUGCGCUUAUUAGGACCAAACUACAAUCGCAGGCCGGAACCAAUUUAAAUCUACCGUACGAGCAAACUCAUGCUAUUGGUCUCUUUAGGCAUAUAGUUCGAACUGAAGGUAUAAAAGGAUUAUACCGAGGAUUGAUACCAAACUUCUGCAAGGUAGCUCCUGCAGUAUCUAUCUCCUAUUGGGUUUAUGAACGAGCAAGAGUUAAACUAGGAGUUGAGAUGACGUAGAUACCAACAUAGACUCUAGAGCUGUUUAUAUGGAUUUAAGGGACAUUUGACUAAAUUCAGCAUUCAAUUUAUUUUAAAUAGUGAGAUAAUGGAUAUUAUUCACUUUAUUAGGAAUGAUUUUUAAGUUGGAAAUAACGUUAAAUUUGAAGAUGUAUUAAACACAUUUUAAUCAUUAUGUCCCUUGGUCUGUAUCAAAGUUAAAAGUUGCGUAGUCUCAAUUAGGAAAUAUUAUUUUUUUAAUUCUUUUUGGUGUAAUUUAUAUAUUUUCCUAUUACUCAAUGUGAUAUAGUUAAUAUUAAAGUUAUAUUGGCUUCUUGAUCUGCUGUGUAAUAUUUGCGCCUUUUCCAUUUCUCUUGUACUGUUUGUAAUCAUUAUCAUCCUCUCUCAUAUAAAUUUCCACGUUAUUGCUAUUAUAUUUAAAUUUUACUCAUCUAACCGUCCGUUAAAGAUGAUAAUUUCAAACCAGACCAUUUUCAAUCUUUAUUCGUCGAAGAAAUCUUCCAGUUGGAAUUUUCACGUUUUUAAUUAAGAAAUGGCGCCAAACAUGCAUUCAUUUUGGUUGAAUUUAGAGCUAACCAUUAGAGCCAUCUUUAAAUAAGAAAUGGCUCAAAGGUUCAGCAAUUGAAUAGUUCACGUUUUAGAUCUUAAUAUCUCUGCUUUUAAAUUGUUCUAGCUUUCAAGUUAAUGCUUUAAGCGUGCACCUAGUGCUUUUGUCACUAAGCAUUAAUAAUUGAUGGUGGUUUCUAUGCAACUUUUUGUCAAAACUAAAUUAAUACUUAUCUUGUUAUAUUCUGGUCUAUUUGUUGUGCUAUAAAUCCUCAUUCCUCUGUUACAUUUAUGUACAAUUUUCCAGGCUGUUGUGUACAUAUGUACAUGUAAUAUGUACAUCAACCAUUGUACCAUGGCAUUAUCAUAUUGUCAAAUUAGAUACAAAUUUAUUCGUGAAAGAUAUCACUUCUAAAACUCAAUUAAAAAGAGUCAAGUAUCCCUCUCUUGGUUUUUAUUUUCAUUCUGAACGCUUAUGAAAACUUCAUGAAAGCCUUAUUUUCACUAAUUAAGUAAAAAUUAUAUCCAGUGAUAUUUUUUUUUCACCGCCUAAUCCCACUUUUUGAUGUUAUUUAUUUCCCGCCCUGUUAUUUAUAUUUUUACCCCAUCUUGUUUAUUGUUAUGAAUAUUGGAAUAUUUUUCCUCUUCAGAAA
rnacentral:misc_RNA from 1 species